rnacentral:rRNA from 1 species
CAGCAGCCGCGGUAAUACGUAGGUGGCAAGCGUUGUCCGGAAUUACUGGGUGUAAAGGGCGUGUAGGCGGGGAUGCAAGUCAGAUGUGAAAUUCCGGGGCUCAACCCCGGCACUGCAUCUGAAACUGUGUCUCUUGAGUGCUGGAGAGGAAAGCGGAAUUCCUAGUGUAGCGGUGAAAUGCGUAGAUAUUAGGAGGAACACCAGUGGCGAAGGCGGCUUUCUGGACAGUAACUGACGCUGAGGCGCGAAAGCGUGGGUAGCGAACAGGAUUAGAUACCCUGGUAGUCCACGCCGUAAACGAUGGAUACUAGGUGUAGGAGGUAUCGACCCCUUCUGUGCCGGAGUUAACACAAUAAGUAUCCCACCUGGGGAGUACGGCCGCAAGGUUGAAACUCAAAGGAAUUGACGGGGGCCCGCACAAGCAGUGGAGUAUGUGGUUUAAUUCGAAGCAACGCGAAGAACCUUACCAGGGCUUGACAUACCAUUGACGUACUUAGAGAUAGGUAUUUCCUUCGGGACAAUGGAUACAGGAGGUGCAUGGCC